rnacentral:tRNA from 1 species
ACAGUGGUGGCUGUGUGGUAGUGUUUCUGCCUACCAUGCAGAAAAUCUGAGUUCAAGUCCCAGCUGUGGUG